rnacentral:rRNA from 1 species
CAGCCGCCGCGGUAAUACGUAGGGUGCGAGCGUUAAUCGGAAUUACUGGGCGUAAAGCGUGCGCAGGCGGUUCGUUAAGACAGAUGCGAAAUCCCCGGGCUUAGCCUGGGAACUGCAUUUGUGACUGGCGAGCUAGAGUAUGGCAGAGGGGGGUAGAAUUCCACGUGUAGCAGUGAAAUGCGUAGAGAUGUGGAGGAAUACCGAUGGCGAAGGCAGCCCCCUGGGCCAAUACUGACGCUCAUGCACGAAAGCGUGGGGAGCAAACAGGAUUAGAUACCCCGGUAGUCCCUGUCUCUUAUAA